rnacentral:rRNA from 2 species
AGUAUUUAAAGCAGGCGCACGCUUGAAUACAUUAGCAUGGAAUAAUGAAAUAGGACAUUUGAUUCUAUUUUGUUGGUUUCUAGGAUCAACGUAAUGAUUAAUAGGGAUAGUUGAGGGCAUUAGUAUUCAAUUGUCAGAGGUGAAAUUCUUGGAUUUAUUGAAGAUUAACUACUGCAAAGGCAUUUGCCAAGGAUGUUUUCAUUAAUCAAGAACGAAAGUUAGGGGAUCGAAGAUGAUCAGAUACUGUCGUAGUCUUAACCAUAAACUAUGCUGACUAGGGAUCAAAUGAUGUUAAUUUUAUAAUGAUUCAUUCGGCGCCUUACGGGAAAC